rnacentral:lncRNA from 1 species
AUCUUGAUGGACCUUAGACCCAAGAAUUUGCAUUUCUGGGUUCUCCUUCUUUCCAGUGUGACCGCUUUGAGGAGUGAAUGGGUUUAACAGCGGGGCUCAGUCUGGGUGUUCCUGACACCAGGCUCGGGGCAGGCAGCACAAGCCAGGCCUCCCUUCCACAUCAGAAGGUCUACGUGGGUGGUCAGGUGACAGUCUGCCCAGAGUAGUGCAGGUGUUAGGACAGGCUCACUGCCCUCUGUGUCUUGUGGCCACGUCAGGCAGAAGGCAAGGUCUGAUAAGGACUUGCACAUAGUCAUUAAUAUGUUUGUUCGUUUUGUCAUUCAGCAGUCACUCUGUGAGUCUUGGAGGAAAAAGGAAGACUAAGGCCCCAUUUCUGUCUCAAAGCAGUGGCUGAUACCUAGACAAGAAGUAGUCAGCAUCCCAGAGGAAGUCAUCUGCGGACCCCAAGAGCCUCUCCGGAGCGAGGAGGACUAUUCUGGUUUUAACAUUGAAAAGUCCUGUGUUUUGAGAAACUCCUUGGUGCAGGACAAAUAGGGAGAGUGAGACACCCGAGGAGGAAAGGACAGUGACUAAUUUCCUUGGAGACAGGAGGGUAUCCAUGGAGGUCCCUGGGCUCAGCCUCGAUGCACCCUCCAUUUCCCCUUAGGGAGUCAUAGGGCAUCAUGGCCUCACGUGCUUUCUGAUUCAGCCCAGAGUAGCUGCAUCCAAGUUUCUCAAGAGUGUGGGAGGCUGGUACAAGUUGUAAUUCUGGGCCUGCUGUCAAGGUAGAAAGCGCAAGGAGUGAGAGUGGUGGGAAAGGAGCCUGGGAGAAAGUUUCACUGGCCACCUCUGCGGUCAAGCCCCAGAUGUGAGAAAAAGCAGUUGGGGGAGCCAGAUGCAGCCCAAGGCCAUCCCAUGACAGAGCUCAGAGCAGCAGAGGGCUUUGAAUCAAGAACAAUGAAUGUCUUUUCAUAUAAGGACUUGGAGCUGGACCACCCCUCAAAAAUCCCCUUGGAUUCAAAGCUGGUGAUCAAAACGGAAGGAAACUCAAAAUUACCACAUGCGUCCUUCCUGCCCUCUGAGGGGAAGAUCUCAUGCUUUUGAGGCAGGAAAGGUAAAGGGGCUUUCAGAUUCUUGAAAAAGCAAUCGUUGGGGUGGAGUUUGACGGUAAAAACAGAUGCCUUGCGCUGUGCUCCUUCCUCCGACCAGAGGGCUGCGAAAGGUCUCACUGGUUGAGUGUUAUUUCAUUUAGCAAGUAUUUAUUGAGAAGUAUUGUGUGUAUCUGACCAGGUUUUCUGGGGAGAAGUCUUGGGAAACUCACAGUUUAUUAAUAAAUACCUUUGGCCCAAUUUUGUAUUUCCUUUU